UGAUUGUUUUUUGGAAGAGGUUUCAUUAAAAAAACCUCCCCACCACUUCCUCAAGUAGACAAGGCCCAACAUCUUCAUUCAUCUUCUCCAAUAUCUUCAUUCCUCUUCUCCAAUCCUCCCUCUUUCAAAACACUGAACCUAGCACCCAUCUCCUCCUCACAUCACCUCCUCCGCCACCCCUUUCACCUCCGCCGCCCUGCACCUCCGCCACCGCCCACCUCCGCCGCCCUGCACCUCCGCCACCCCUCCACCUUCGUCGCCCUCCUCCUCCAGCCGACACCCACCUCCGUCGCCCUCCUCCAGCCGACACCCACCUCCGUUCUGGGUUAUGCACCAUGGGAUGUUAGAAGUGCUGAAUUGAAGCCUAGAUUUGCAGAAGCUGCUGGUUAUUUGAGUGAUUUGCAGAAGCCUAGCUUGGAAUCUUGGGAUUAAAGGGUUUCCUACUUUGCUUCUGUUUGUUAAUGGCAGUUCUCAACAUUAUACUCGUGGAUUUUCAUUGGAAGAAAUUGUGAUACGGGUGAGGAAGAAGACGGGUACCCCUCUUCGAAGUUAAAAACAAACAGUCUUCUUGUUGCAGACUGCAGAGGUUUGGUCCACCUCUUCUGCUACAGAUGUCUGCAGAUGUUGUCCGCAGACUGCAGACGUUUUACCUCUGAAAAAACAAACAACACCUAGGAUGCGACACCUAGGUGGUGUUAAAAAGAGUUAAAGUAUACCCCAGGCCUUAGGCUAUAGGGUAUGGGGGUUAUGGGUUGGAUCAUGCUUUGCCACGUGGAACAUGGAUCCAUUGCUACACCACCUCUCUUGUUGAACCACCGUGGUUUGCGUGGUUCAAUACAUGGCAACCACAAGCCCCAUCUGAUGAUUUUGAUGUUUUGGAAUUAAUUAAAAAAAUAAAUGGUAGAUGGUGGGUUUGGGUCAUGACCAUACCAUAUAGAGUGGUGGAUGUCAGUGGGGUGACAUGGGGCUGACGUGAAGAGUGAUGGUGGUCAGGGGCGUAGCUUAGUUGAUAUCCGGGGGUGCACCCCCGCAAUUAUUUUGCCUAAAUACUUAUAUAAUAUAUAAAUUGUGUCCCAUGACUUUCCGUCCCCCGAAACUUUUGAUCAAGCUCCACCACUGGUGAUGGUCAUUUAGGUCAGGAUCAUAUUAUACCCUAUAGCCUUAGAAUGUGUGUUUGUGUUUAUUAUUUUUCUACUUCGAUUUUAAGAGGGAAGGCAGUUAGUUUUACUACAACACGAAUACAACAAAUUUAUUAAACGGUCUAUAGUUGCCAACCCUGUCUAUUUAUUAAACAUAUUAUAGACCAUACAAGCGUUAGUUAUAUAUGUGUGGUCUUGUCUUGUUAGAUUUUGUCUCCAUUGUGAUGAUGAUGACAAUAUAAGGUUGGAUGAAAGGGAAAGUGUUGUUUUUAUGAAAUAAUCGAGCAAUAUCGUCAUUUAAUUCGUGACAACUACACUUUGUAAGAUAGUUAGGCAAUUGGUUGAUAUUUAAAAAUAAUAAAAAUAAGAAAAUUGUCCCGACCAUGAUCACACAUGCGGACAUGAUAUUUUAUGUGGUUUAACAAAAUAAAAAAUACUCAUGUGUGAUUUGUAUCACAACCACAUGCAUAACAUGAUGCAAUGUGAUAUUUUUCUGGCUUAAGCAAUAAGCCGCUUAACAAGAGUACUAUUAUUAAGAUAACCAAUGUAAAUAGCGUGUAUCUUUGAGAUGUUUAGACAAUAUAUAAAUAAUUUAGUACUGAAUUAAUAGUUUUAUCUACGGAUAAAUUAUGUAAACCAUCUAAGUGUUCAUCGUUAUCAAUAUGUUACAACAAUUUAUAGUCAUUCAAAUAUAAAUAUAUGUUAUCAUAUGUUUUCAUUUGUUUUUUAAACUCGUCCUAACUAAAUACUUGUUCCUUUUUUAGUUCGAAAUUUAGUCAACAAAUCUUACCCGCACGAAUACACCUUUAAAUACUUGUUCCUUUUUAGUUCGAAAUUCAGCCAACAAAUCUUUCCGGCACGAAUACACCUUUAAAUCAUUGUUGCUUCCUUGUUUCUGUGCCAUUGGACACCGUUGGAACAAGCCUGCCGUUUCCAUCCAAAGUCCGAAACCCGACUCCUUUAUAUUUUUUAUUUAACCUGUUGAUAUUUUGAAUUCUUUAUUUUCAAUAAAUAUAAUCUAUUCACAUAAAAUUGUGAAUAUUGCACCGCGAGGAUCGAGCAUUUUGAUGGUUAUUUCUUUCAUGUGAAUAUAAUCUAUUUUGAAUUCUUAGCCCAUGUAAAUCAAGCAUUUUAUAAGCUUGAUGUGCUAAUUAUCAUCGGAGAAGACAAGUUUUUCUCCGGUGGUUGGAAUAUCGUUGGAGAAGACGAGUUUAAAAAAGCAGGAUUUAAAAGUGUCAGCGGAGGUAAAGUGCAGGAUGUACAACUGAAGUUUACGUUAUAAAUAUGAGUAAGAUUACGAAAAUGCCCUUUGGUAAGAUUAUAGUGUUACCCUUUAAGGAGUGAACAUUGAUGCAAUCAGGCAAAUGCAAGUUGUAAAACAACAAAAGUUUGUAAAUAAGAGGUAAGGGUGUCAAUGCCCCUGAACUACAGAGAAUAAAAUUUCAUUUUACUCGAAAAUUAAACUGAAAUAUUUGGGAUUUUAUCAGCCGUAUCACCACAAUCACUUUUGUAAUUAAUCCACUUUUUUUUUUCAAACCAACUGAAAUUCCAAACAUAAUCAUGUAUAUAUGUAUAUGUAUAGUAAUGUUAUGACCUUGAAAUAUAUGAGCAAAGUUUUUAAAAAAAUUAGUUUUACUAUUUAAAAACAGGUAACGACACAACUUUUUAUUUGUGUACCAUCUAUCUCAAUAUAAAUUCAUAACAUGGUAAAUUAUUUAUAAUAAAUAGCUGGGAGUGGGUUUUCAAUUUUAUAUAUUUUAUGACCAAAAAAGUAAAAGAAAUGUUUUAUUUGUUUAAACUUUUUUAUAAAUUACGAAUUUCCUAACAUAUUUAAUAUAUACUUUAUACAUCACGAGUUUUGUAACUUACUAUAUAAUCAUAUAA
rnacentral:lncRNA from 1 species